rnacentral:rRNA from 1 species
GACGAACGCUGGCGGCGUGCUUAACACAUGCAAGUCGAACGGAAAGGCCCUGCUUUUGUGGGGUGCUCGAGUGGCGAACGGGUGAGUAACACGUGAGUAACCUGCCCUUGACUUUGGGAUAACUUCAGGAAACUGGGGCUAAUACCGGAUAGGAGCUCCUGCUGCAUGGUGGGGGUUGGAAAGUUUCGGCGGUUGGGGAUGGACUCGCGGCUUAUCAGCUUGUUGGUGGGGUAGUGGCUUACCAAGGCUUUGACGGGUAGCCGGCCUGAGAGGGUGACCGGCCACAUUGGGACUGAGAGACGGCCCAGACGCCUACGGGAGGCAGCAGUCGGGAAUAUUGCACAAUGGGCGGAAGCCUGAUGCAGCAACGCCGCGUGCGGGAUGACGGCCUUCGGGUUGUAAACCGCUUUCGCCUGUGACGAAGCGUGAGUGACGGUAAUGGGUAAAGAAGCACCGGCUAACUACGUG